rnacentral:rRNA from 1 species
GAUGAACGCUGGCGGCGUGCCUAAUACAUGCAAGUCGAGCGAACGGACGAUAAGCUUGCUUCUCUGCUGUUAGCGGCGGACGGGUGAGUAACACGUGGAUAACCUACCUAUAAGACUGGGAUAACUUCGGGAAACCGGAGCUAAUACCGGAUGAUAUUUUGAACCGCAUGGUUCAAGCGUGAAAGACGGUCUUGCUGUCACUUAUAGAUGGAUCCGCGCUGCAUUAGCUAGUUGGUAAGGUAACGGCUUACCAAGGCAACGAUGCAUAGCCGACCUGAGAGGGUGAUCGGCCACACUGGAACUGAGACACGGUCCAGACUCCUACGGGAGGCAGCAGUAGGGAAUCUUCCGCAAUGGGCGAAAGCCUGACGGAGCAACGCCGCGUGAGUGAUGAAGGUCUUCGGAUCGUAAAACUCUGUUAUUAGGGAAGAACAUAUGUGUAAGUAACUGUGCACAUCUUGACGGUACCUAAUCAGAAAGCCACGGCUAACUACGUG